rnacentral:lncRNA from 1 species
CCGCGGCCUCGCCCCGCCCCCUUUAGCCUGGGCUUGAGCGCGCGCAGAAGUCAGCUUCGUGACUUCCUUCUCAGGAUGGAACCAGCUUGGUGGCUUGAGGGAAAGGGGUUCUGAGUUGCAAAUCAGAAACUUGAAGAUGAAAUGGCUACUACGCUGGGUAUUGCCUUUAUCUUGAAUGCCAGCCUGAUGGUCCAAGGUGAACAAGCCUUCCUGUGUUUUCUGAAUGUUCCCCCGCACUUUGCCUGCCACCAUGUAAGAUGUGUCUU